rnacentral:rRNA from 1 species
UACAGAGGGUGCAAGCGUUAAUCGGAAUUACUGGGCGUAAAGGGUGCGUAGGUUGUUGUAUAAGUAAUGCGUGAAAUCCCCGGGCUCAACCUGGGAAUUGCGUGUUAAACUGUGCGGCUAGAGUAUAGUAGAGGGAAGUGGAAUUUCCGGUGUAGCGGUGAAAUGCGUAGAUAUCGGAAGGAACACCAGUGGCGAAGGCGACUUUCUGGACUAAUACUGACACUGAGGCACGAAAGCGUGGGGAGCAAACAGG